UCAGGACGAACGCUGGCGGCGUGCCUAAUACAUGCAAGUCGAACGGUCUUUCUAUGGAAGCUUGCUUCCACUGAGAAGAUAGUGGCGAACGGGUGAGUAACACGUGGGUAACCUGCCCAUAAGAGGGGGGAUAACAUCCGGAAACGGGUGCUAAUACCGCAUAGUUUUCUUGAUCGCAUGAUUGAGAAAGGAAAGACGGCCUUUGUGCUGUCGCUUAUGGAUGGACCCGCGGCGUAUUAGUUAGUUGGUGAGGUAACGGCUCACCAAGACGAUGAUACGUAGCCGACCUGAGAGGGUGAUCGGCCACAUUGGGACUGAGACACGGCCCAAACUCCUACGGGAGGCAGCAGUAGGGAAUCUUCCGCAAUGGACGAAAGUCUGACGGAGCAACGCCGCGUGAGUGAAGAAAAGGUUUUCGGAUCGUAAAACUCUGUUGUCAGAGAAGAACAAGUUGGAGAGUAACUGCUCCAGCCUUGACGGUAUCUGACCAGAAAGCCACGGCUAACUACGUGCCAGCCGCCGC
rnacentral:rRNA from 1 species